rnacentral:rRNA from 1 species
UACGUAGGCAGCAAGCGUUGUUCGGAGUUACUGGGCGUAAAGAGUAUGUAGGCGGUUGCGUAAGUUCGGUGUGAAAUCUCCCGGCUUAACUGGGAGGGUGCGCCGAAAACUGCGUGGCUUGAGUGCGGGAGAGGAGAGCGGAAUUCCUGGUGUAGCGGUGAAAUGCGCAGAUAUCAGGAGGAACACCGAUGGCGAAGGCAGCUCGCUGGGACGGUACUGACGCUGAGACGCGAAAGCGUGGGGAGCAAACAGG